rnacentral:rRNA from 1 species
CGCAGCCGCGGUAAUUCCAGCUCCAAUAGCGUAUAUUAAAGUUGUUGCAGUUAAAAAGCUCGUAGUUGAAUUUCGGGAUCAGUUCGUUGGUCGUGCCUUUGGUAUGUACUGGUGUUACUGGUUCCUCCCUUCUGACGAACCGUCAUGUCAUUAAUUUGGUGUGGCGGGGAAUCAGGACUGUUACUUUGAAAAAUUAGAGUGUUUAAAGCAGGCUCGCGCUUGAAUACAUUAGCAUGGAAUAAUGAAAUAGGACGUUCGAUCCUAUUUUGUUGGUUUCUAGGAUUGACGUAAUGAUUAAUAGGGAUAGUUGGGGGCAUUAGUAUUCAAUUGUCAGAGGUGAAAUUCUUGGAUUUAUUGAAGACUAACUACUGCGAAAGCAUUUGCCAAGGAUGUUUUCAUUAAUCAAGAACGAAAGUUAGGGGAUCGAAGACGAUCAGAUACCGUCGUAGUCUUAACCAUAAACUAUGCCGACUAGGGAUCGGAUGAUGUUAAUUUUUAAUGUACUCAUUCGGCGCCUUAC